rnacentral:misc_RNA from 1 species
UCCUGGUUUCCCAGGCAGUCCCAUCAGAGUGCCUCCUCACGGAGUAGCAACUGAUAGCAGGAGUUGCGCUCGUUAAAGGACUUAACCCAACAUCUCACGACACGAGCUGACGACAGCCAUGCAGCACCUGUGCAACUGUCCAAGGUUACCCCUGAAAGACUCUAUCUCUAGAGCUGUCAAUUGCAUGUCAAGCCUAGGUAAGGUUCCUCGCGUAGUGUCGAAUUAAACCACAUGUUCCACCGCUUGUGCGGACCCCCGUCAAUUUCUUUGAGUUUUAAUCUUGCGACCGUACUCCCCAGGCGGAUCACUUAUCGCGUUAGCUACGACACUAAUUCUGCAGAGCAGAACUAACGUCUAGUGAUCAUCGUUUACAGCGUGGACUAC